rnacentral:rRNA from 1 species
UACGGAGGGUGCAAGCGUUGCUCGGAAUUAUUGGGCGUAAAGGGCGCGUAGGCGGCCCGGUAAGUCAAAGGUGAAAUCCCUCGGCUCAACUGAGGAACUGCCUUUGAAACUGUCGGGCUUGAGGCCGGGAGGGGGUAGCGGAAUUCCCAAUGUAGCGGUGAAAUGCGUAGAUAUUGGGAGGAACACCAGUGGCGAAGGCGGCUACCUGGACCGGUUCUGACGCUGAGGCGCGAAAGCGUGGGUAGCAAACAGG